AUUGAACGCUGGCGGCAUGCCUAACACAUGCAAGUCGAGCGAAUGAAGGGAGCUUGCUCCUCUCUUCCGCUGCGGACGGGUGAGUAAUGCCUACGUAUCUGCCUUGUAUUUGGGGCUAACGUCCGUUCACGGGCGCUAAUACCGCAUACGUCCUGAUGUUGAACGUGGUGGAUCUUCGGACCUCACGCUAUCUGAUGAGCCUAGGUCGGAUUAGCUAGUUGGUGGGGUAAAGGCCUACCAAGGCGACGAUCCGUAACUGGUCUGAGAGGAUGAUCAGUCACACUGGAACUGAGACACGGUCCAGACUCCUACGGGAGGCAGCAGUGGGGAAUAUUGGACAAUGGGCGAAAGCCUGAUCCAGCCAUGCCGCGUGUGUGAAGAAGGUCUUCGGAUUGUAAAGCACUUUAAGUUGGGAGGAAGGGCAGUAAGUUAAUACCUUGCUGUUUUGACGUUACCAACAGAAUAAGCACCGGCUAACUUCGUG
rnacentral:rRNA from 1 species